rnacentral:lncRNA from 1 species
UUAAAUUUAUAAGAUGCGAAGAUGCUGAAAGGGUAACAUUUUCAGUGUUUAUGCUAAAGAAGGGGGCUAGCCAUUGGUGGGACAUGACUACCAGGUCAUUAACACCUGCUGAAGAACAGGCUAUAACUUGGGAGAGGUUUAAGGAACUUGUAGAAGAAAAAUUCUUCCCGACAGCUGUGAGAGAUCAAAAGGAGAUGGAGUUCCU